rnacentral:tRNA from 1 species
AGUCUCGCGGUGAGCGCACACCGAAGUGCAAAUUCGGAGACGUACCCCAAGGUGCCGAGACU